AAAAACAAAAAAACUUAAAGCAUAAAAGAGUUAUUACAAGGUACCGUGAAUUUUCAUUAAUUGUUAACUAAAAAAGAACGUGAAUAUCCUUUUAUUCAACGAGGAAAUUAAAGAGGAAAUAAUUAAGUAUUUGAGACAAUAACAAUGAAGUUUGCAGGGGGAACUCAUCAAGUCUAUAAGCCAAGCUAGAGGGACUAAAGGCGUUCAUCCGAAUUUUCAUUCAUCGGAAAAUCGCAAUACAUAAAAUCAUGUUUAUAUGUAUAUAUAGUAGAGGAUAAGCCUAGCUAACUCCUUGAUAAAAAUUCUAUCUCCAUCACUUGUUGUAUGAUUCAUUCGAACAAGUUUUUUGUUUUAAUUAUGGUGAUGAUUGCACAUGUAGCAUCCACACUAACUUACGUACACCUCGACCUUUUCAUAUAUGUGACCGGUACCUAAUUGCUUGCGUUAUUGUAGAAAAUGUAGUGUGCGUAAUUUUCUUCACGGCUAAAGACUGAUCAACUUCCUGCAUAAAGAAAAAUAAUAUUUCAUAAUUUAGUAUUUUUCUUGAUAAAUAAUAUUUUGAUACUUUUAUUUUUGUUCCUUCCACUUAAUGAAAUUGGGAUGAGGGUAACCAUAUUUUAAUAGAGUCGAUUUUUCAGUUGAUCACUCAAUUAAUACUCAUUAUCUCAGAAAUUCAUUUUCUUUAUUAAAGAAAAUUGACAAAAAAAUAUUACUUUUUGAAAUAAUAAUUAUUAUGUUGAUAGGAAGAAUCAAUCCUAUUUUAAUACUCUAUAUGAAAAAUCAUUGUGCAUAUGGCCACCAACUAAAAGAUGGACUCUAAUCAAAAUAUGUUUUAAUUCAGAUUAAUAAGAUGUGAAAUAGUAAACAAUAAAAUAAAAAAUACAGGAUGGAUUAGUUAUAAAUAUUUUUACUAUAUAAAAUGUUCUUACUAUCAUCUAGUAGGUAGUAAAUGCCAAAAAUGGCAACAACCAUCAAUUAAUUUGAUGUCAAUUAAAUUAAAUUUGAAUUAUUUUGUGUGUCUUAAUUUGAGUUACACUAAUAAAUACUCAAUAUAUUCACCUUUUUAUUGUUUUCCUUUUAUUUUGUGUGCCUUAAUUUGAUUAAACACAAAAUGUACCCAUAUAAAUGAUUACUUUCUAAUUUUAUGAUUUUUCACAAAAAUAUAUGCAUUGCAAUACCAAUAAUAUCCUUUGAAGACAAUUUUAAACAUGGCAUAUCAUUACUAUAACCGAUUAAAUGGAAAUAUUGAAAUUAACAAAUUAAUAAAUAUAAAAGAGUGGCAUUAUAUUUGGAAUAACUUAUAAAAGGAAUUUAUACAACACAUAAAUUGAAAUAGAGAAAGUAAAAGAUUAGUUAUUUGCAGAAUUGCAAAUUAGAGAUCAGAAAAGAUUAGGCCUAGCUGAAAAAAUAAACAAGUGAAUAAUAAAAAAACUAAAUAAAUUAAAAUACCUGAACCAACUCAUAGAAGAAGAAAUAAUAAUGAAACAAUUACAUCUUUUGUUUUUUGAAUUUCAUAUUUUCAUUUCACCAAUCACAUCUUUCUUUAUAGAAAUUCUCAAGUUGCAAAUGGAAUUGAAGGGCUAUUAUUUCAAUGGAUUCCUUUUAUAGGUUCAUUGAACCUGGUCAUCCUCUUUUCCACUUAAAUAAACAUAGUCGAA
rnacentral:lncRNA from 1 species